GAGUGAUGGUGUAGCCUGAAGAUCUUGGACUUGGUCCUCCUGGGCUAUGUCUCCCAUGUUUUUAACUGUAAGAACUCCCAGUUUCAGAUGAAAAAAAUGUAAGGCCCUAUUAUGAUAGGUAUGUUUUUAGUAUCAGUUAAUUGAAAAAGUAUUGCAAAACGCUUCUACUUUUAAGUAACUUUUAUUUUAGACUUAAUAUUAUCUGUGUAAUUUGAAAAAUACCGUAACACAUACUUUGUGGGCUUUCCUUUCUGCUGGUUUAGUCUUGAGAUUUUUAUGGGGGAAGAUGUCAGUUAACAUUCCUCCAUCUGUCCUCCAAAUUCAGAAAUUUUGUUGCUGUCAUCUCACUUGCUCUUUUUGUCUUUGUGGGCUCUUUUAAUGCCUUCUUCAGUAUUUCUUUCCUAUCUCUCCAGUGGGAGCAUGGGAAGGAGCAGAGGCAAAUGUGCAUGUAUUAUAUUCUUAUUGUUUAACUGGAGAUAUGAAUGUUAGCCAUAACUGUAGAUAGAAGGUCCCUGGUGGCCUAGAGGGUUAAGCAUCUGGCGUAGUCACUGCUGUGGUGCAGGUUUGAUCCCUGGCCUGGGAUCUUCCACAUGCCAUGGGAGCAGCCAGAAAAUAGAAACAAGAAUAGAUUUCUGUAAUGUAGUAUGUGAAAAUAGUGGAGAGGUGGGUGAGAGGUACCUCUUUGGUGUGUGCAUUGUACUGCUCAUAGCCUUAUGCCAGAGGUGCCUUGGGCAAGACACUUCUGAGUUACCACUUCUAAAAUGGCCUGGUAGAUCUUGCCCAGACUGCUUCAUAAUGUGAUGUGAUAAUGAACGUAGACAUUUUUUAUAAGUUGUACUUCAAAUGUGAGGGAUACAGAGACGUUAAGCCAAAUUCCUUGAGUGUAGAGUGUAGGAAAGGGAAGUACAGAUGACAAAAAAGAAGCUAAUUGCUAUAUAAAACAAUUUGUGACUAAAAAAGUGUGGUCUAGUUCGAGUAUGUUAAGUCAGGGAGGUAUUGUAGAGGAGAUAAAUAUAAUGCUUACUUUUUAGAGGAAGUGAUAGAAAUGUUUGAGUAGGGCAGAUAGGAGUGUCUUCUUUGAGAUUUAUUGUGGGCACCAGGAGUUAAAAUCUUCAUGAUUUGUUUCUGUACUUGUAUUUGGAUUUAUGAAAUUGAAGAGACAAGUAAGACUGAAGAGAUGGGGGGCUUUUAAAAAUAUGCUCUGGAAACUUCCAUAUAUGGCAGGUGUGGCCAUAAAAAGAAAAAAAUGGAAUCGAACCUACAACCUCAUGGUUCCUAGUUGGAUUCAUUUCUGCUAUGCUACAACGGGAACUCCCCCUCAUAGUAGUUUUGAUUUUGCAUUUCUCUAAUAAUCAGUGAUGUUCAGCAUUUUUUCAUGUGCUUGUUUGCCAUUUGUAUAACUUCUUUGGAGAAGUGUCUGUUCAGGUCUUUUGCCCAUUUUUCCAUUGGGUUGUUGGCUUUUUUUGCUGUUGAGCUGUGUAAGUUUUUUUUGUUGUUUCUAGUUGUAUUAAGAAAAAAGCUGGGAGUUCCUGCUGUGGUACAGUGGGUUAAGAAUCUGCAGUGGCUCAGGUCGCUGCAGAGGUGCGAGUUCAACCCCUGGCCCACUGCAGUAGGUUAAAAGACCUGGCAUUGCUGCACCUGUGGCAUAGGUUGCAGCUGCAGCUCGGAUUCAGAUCCUGGCCCAGGAAUUGCUAUAUGCCAUGGGU
rnacentral:lncRNA from 1 species